rnacentral:lncRNA from 1 species
CAACACUGUAGGUAUUUGAAAGUGAAGACAGGGGAAAAAUGAUGCUUGUAAUUCCUGAGAGUAGCUAUGAAGGGAAACCUCCCCUUGUUGAGGACGCAGACAGAUCCAUCCCACUGCUGAGCUCUGGCUACCCUUUCCAGGACAGGAUUGUCCCCCUGCAACACCAGUCUCCAGAGACCUGGUGAUAUUCAAGGUCUUCAUCCCUCUCGGGCACGCCUAGCUAACACUCACCUCUUGGAUGAGAUGAUGUCCUCGUGCUGCCCUUCUGCCGACUCUUCCCUGCAAUCGGCCCUGACCUCUCAGAAUGCAGCUUGCCCCAGCCUGAUAUAGCUCAUCCCUCAUCGGGUGCAUCUGUGCCCAGCUACCCUGGUUCUGAUGAAGUAAAUAGGACACAUAUGUCACCGUGGAGCCUCAUGAGUCUCUUUAGAUAAAAAUAAAUUUGGAAAAUUGCAAAACUCUCCAGAGACAAUAGCUUCCUAAUGAUUUCUGCCUUCUUUGACACCUCAUUGCACUGAUUAAUGGUCAUUCAAAUUGAUCACCUGGCAUAGCUCACUGUCAAAAUAAAAAAGGACAUAUUUUAAAAA